rnacentral:rRNA from 1 species
AACGAACGCUGGCGGCAGGCCUAACACAUGCAAGUCGAACGCUCUCGCAAGAGAGAGUGGCGCACGGGUGCGUAACGCGUGGGAACGUACCUCUAGGAGCGGAACAACGUCGGGAAACUGACGCUAAUACCGCAUAAUGUCUUCGGACCAAAGAUUUAUCGCCUAGAGAUCGGCCCGCGUUAGAUUAGGUAGUUGGUGAGGUAAUGGCUCACCAAGCCUACGAUCUAUAGCUGGUCUGAGAGGAUGAUCAGCCACACUGGGACUGAGACA